GACGGGGCCCGCACAGGCGGUGGAGCAUGUGGUUUAAUUCGAAGUAACGCGAAGAACCUUACCAGGUCUUGACAUCCCCUGACAACCCGAGAGAUCGGGCGUUCCCCUUCGGGGGACAGGGUGACAGGUGGUGCAUGGUUGUCGUCAGCUCGUGUCGUGAGAUGUUGGGUUAAGUCCCGCAACGAGCGCAACCCUCGACCUUAGUUGCCAGCAUUCAGUUGGGCACUCUAAGGUGACUGCCGGCUAAAAGUCGGAGGAAGGUGGGGAUGACGUCAAAUCAUCAUGCCCCUUAUGACCUGGGCUACACACGUGCUACAAUGGGCGGUACAAAGGGUCGCGAACCCGCGAGGGGGAGCCAAUCCCAAAAAGCCGCUCUCAGUUCGGAUUGCAGGCUGCAACUCGCCUGCAUGAAGCCGGAAUCGCUAGUAAUCGCGGAUCAGCAUGCCGCGGUCGAAUACGUUCCCGGGCCUU
rnacentral:rRNA from 1 species